UACGAACUGUGCGAACGUUAUUCGGAAUCACUGGGCUUAAAGGGUGCGUAGGCGGUCAUCUAAGUCACGUGUGAAAUCUUCUGGCUCAACCAGAAAACUGCGCGUGAAACUAGUUGACUUGAGUGAGGUAGGGGUGUGUGGAACUUCCGGUGGAGCGGUGAAAUGUGUAGAGAUCGGAAGGAACGCCAGCAGCGAAAGCGGCACACUGGGCCUUUUCUGACGCUGAGGCACGAAAGCUAGGGGAGUGAACGGG
rnacentral:rRNA from 1 species